CUGCGGUGCUUCGGCUACUCACAGUGAGAUUAUUGUAGUUUGACUGCACACAUACAUGGUCUCUAGCCAUAUGGGUCCAUGCAGUGUAGAUUGGCUGCAAUAGGUUCACUGUAGGAGUAGGGUAUGCACCUACAAGGAAUCUAUCGACCUUGAUAGAAGAGGAGUGAUCCUAUGUGAUUUAUUAGACUGAGUUCUAAGACCUUGGCCAGGGCAGUAAUAUAAGGUGGAGAAAGAGUUUUCCACUAUUGAACUCGAGUCGAAUAAAUCUUGACAUAUGACAGACGAUGGGGUUUGACGAGUUGUCCAUGACCUCCGUCCUGUAGGGAUCCACGAUAGUAGGACUGUAUCACACGAUAACUGCACCUAGAGGUUCAUCAUUCCAUUCUACUGGGUAGCCACUACAUGCUGCUAGGUGUCACUGGUGGAUGGUGGGACUCAUAGGGAUUGUCUCGAUGAUCGAUAAACCCUAAUGAGUUGAGUUGGAAUCGUUCCAACCCAUUGAAAGGAGUUUUCAAUG
rnacentral:lncRNA from 1 species